rnacentral:misc_RNA from 1 species
GAUGAAGAACGCAGCGAAAUGCGAUAAGUAAUGUGAAUUGCAGAAUUCAGUGAAUCAUCGAAUCUUUAAACGCACAUUGCGCCCGCCAGUAUUCUGGCGGGCAUGCCUGUUCGAGCGUCAUUUCAACCAUCAAGCCCCCGGCUUGUGUUGGGGACCUGCGGCUGCCGCAGGCCCUGAAAAGCAGUGGCGGGCUCGCUGUCACACCGAGCGUAGUAGCAUACAUCUCGCUCUGGGCGUGCUGCGGGUUCCGGCCGUUAAACCACCUUCAUAACCCAAGGUUGACCUCGGAUCAGGUAGGAAGACCCGCUGAACUUAAGCAUAUCAAUAAGCGGAGGA